rnacentral:rRNA from 1 species
UACAUGGGGUGCAAACGUUGCUCGGAAUUAUUGGGCGUAAAGCGCGCGUAGGCGGUUACUUAUGUCGGAUGUGAAAGCCCUCGGCUUAACUGAGGAAGUGCAUUCGAAACUGGGUAGCUAGAGUACUAAAGAGGGUCGCGGAAUUCCCGGUGUAGAGGUGAAAUUCGUAGAUAUCGGGAGGAACACCGGUGGCGAAGGCGGCGACCUGGGUAGAUACUGACGCUGAGGCGCGACAGCGUGGGGAGCAAACAGG